rnacentral:rRNA from 1 species
UACGGGGGGGGCAAGCGUUGUUCGGAAUUACUGGGCGUAAAGGGCUCGUAGGUGGCCAACUAAGUCAGACGUGAAAUCCCUCAGCUUAACUGGGGAACUGCGUCUGAUACUGGAUGGCUUGAGUUUGGGAGAGGGAUGCGGAAUUCCAGGUGUAGCGGUGAAAUGCGUAGAUAUCUGGAGGAACACCGGUGGUGUAGACGGCUCUCUGGACCGUAACUGACGCUGAGGCACGAAAGCGUGGGUAGCAAACAGG